CGAAGGGGGCUAGCGUUGUUCGGAAUUACUGGGCGUAAAGCGCGCGCAGGCGGUCUUCCAAGUCAGUGGUGAAAGCCCGGAGCUCAACUCCGGAACUGCCAUUGAAACUGUUAGACUUGAGGAUGAGAGAGGUGAGUGGAAUUCCCAGUGUAGAGGUGAAAUUCGUAGAUAUUGGGAAGAACACCGGUGGCGAAGGCGGCUCACUGGCUCAUUACUGACGCUCAGGCGCGAUAGCGUGGGGAUCAAACAGGAUUAGAUACCCUGGUAGUCCACGCCGUAAACGAUGAAUGCUAGCCGUUAGGGCAGCUUGCUGUUCAGUGGCGCAGCUAACGCAUUAAGCAUUCCGCCUGGGGAGUACGGCCGCAAGGUUG
rnacentral:rRNA from 1 species